UAUCAAAUUAAGUUAAGUUAGACUAAGUGUUUUCAAAACACUAAGUGAUUUUUUGGGUCAUUUGAUG
rnacentral:tRNA from 1 species